AAUAUUGGACAAUGGGCGAAAGCCUGAUCCAGCCAUGCCGCGUGUGUGAAGAAGGUCUUCGGAUUGUAAAGAACGUUAAGUUGGGAGGAAGGGCAGUAAGUUAAUACCUUGCUGUUUUGAAGUUACCGAUAGAAUAAGCACCGGCUAACGUAGUGCCAGCAGCCGCGGUAAUACGAAGGGUGCAAGCGUUUAUCGGAAUUAAUGGGCGUAAAGACGGCGUAGGUGGUUUGUUAAGUUGGAAGUUAAAGCCCCGGGCUUAACCUGGGAAUUGCUUUCAAAACUGACGAGCUAGAGUACGGUAGAGGGUAGUGGAAUUUCCUGUGUAGCGGUGAAAUGCGUAGAUAUAGGAAGGAACAUCAGUGGCGAAGGCGACUACCUGGACUGAUACUGACACUGAGGUGCGAAAGCGUGGGGAGCAAACAGG
rnacentral:rRNA from 1 species